GUCGCCGAACGGGGCGGAGAGCGCGGCGGCCAUGACAAAGCCGCGUCAAUGCUAGUGGCCUCGGAGUCCGUCUUUGCAUGCAUGUCUCUCAAUUGGGUCUUCUCUCCUUGGUUUUUCCUUUGUGACAGAAUAAUAGAGCAAACGCUUCGAUAGACGUUAAACGCGAAAUGGUUUCGGAGGUUGUGCAAUAAAAGCGAAACCCGUAUGGGGUCUUUCAUAACUUCUUUUCAAGCAAGUUGGUCCCAUUUAAUGACGUUCCUCCCCACGCGCUUCCACGCAUAGCUACACCUACGAGACGGCUGAUUUUUAUAGAUGGCAGAAGGUGCGUCUCAAGCCACAGAAUCAGCGCGUGGGUUAUGAAAAUGGAAAAUGCAGUCAACUGUACUGACAGUAACCCAGAAUGUCUUUGAAGAACUGAAAACUCCUCAAUAAAUAGAUUUACACAUUUAUUUUCUUUUUAAUUCCUCAUUUUGGUGGGAAAAGGCCUCCCCCGAAAACUUUAAAAACUUGGGACUUUUAGUAACAAAAAAAUAACAUAUCCAAAAAGAACGUGACGUUUCCUUUC